AUAAAAUAACAAAACAUAAAGCGAAAUCUCUCCGGCUGAUGUUCGUUGUGAGUGGAGCGCGGUUCCCUACAAGAUCGUCUAAGGUUAUGUAACGACCUGACCCGCUAGCAAUAAUAACUAGUUGGGCCAAAGCCAUCGGCCCAAAAUAUUUAAGCCCAGUUAUUAUGUCUAGCCCAAUCAAGCUUAUAUACUCCCACAUUUAGCCAUAAAUAUUCGUGAGACUAUUGGGGUGUGGCCCUGACAUUCUCGUCAGCCCUAAACACACACAGCCCAAAAUUACCAGGCGAGACUUGUCUCGCUAGUCUUUGUCAUUCUGACCCUAACUUAGCCUGUCAAUCAUCGACCCUGGCUUAAUUUGUCAUUCCGAUCCUGCCUUAGCCAAGACUCAUCUCACACUUUCGGCUGGUGAACUUGGCUCUGAUAUCAAUGUAACAAUCCGACCCGCUAACAAUAAUAACUUGUUGGGCCAAAACCACCAGCCCAGUGCUUAAGCCCAGUUAUUAUGUCUAAUCCAAUCAAACUUAUAUACUCCUACAUUUAGCCAUAACUAUCCGAUAUGGGACUAUUGGGAUGUCACAGGUUAACAAGACAAGUCUCACAUCGCCUAAUGUUUAUGAAUUUCUUAACCUGGUUAUAACAUUUGAGCAGUGACUAUACUUAAGAGGUUAAGAGA
rnacentral:lncRNA from 1 species